rfam:Oryza rufipogon genomic scaffold, chr02
AAAAAAACAAAUUAUGGGUUUCCGUGUCCAACGUUUGACCGUGUGUCUUAUUUAAAAAAAAUUAUGAAAAAAAUUAAAAAGACAAGUCACGCAUAAAGUAUUAAUCAUGUUUUAUCAUUUAACAACAAUGAAAAUACUAAUUAUAAAAAAAUUCAUAUAAGACGGACAGUCAAACGUUAGAUACGAAAACACAGGGUUCGUCUUUUU